GAAAGUCUCUUUCAAUAUGAGAGACAGAAAGCAGAAACAGUAGUAAGAAUCAAGGAAGAUAAAUAUUUUCAAACUUCUAGAAAGAAAAUUUAAACAUUUGGUUCUGGAUACAUGUUGAACCUAGUUGAAUAUAAAAAUCAGUAGAUAAAAACUGUGUUUACUAUACUGUACAAUUCCAUUUACAUGAAGCAUCCAGAAAAGAGAAAUAUAUAGGUGGUUGUGAGACAACUUCAACAAGAAGUGGCUGAUUCCCUUAAAAAAUUAACUAUGUUAGAGUCUCCACUGGAAGGUACAUGAUGUCACAUUAAUUUGGAAGAGACACGGGCCUCAAAGAGGAAAUUAUUUCAAGUGGAAAGUCAAAUAUAAGAAACUCCUGGAAAUGACAAUAAAUGUGUUAAGUGUAUUUGGAAAUGAAGACUUCGAUUGCCAUGGAGACUUAAAAACAGAUCAACUGAAAAUGAAUAUUCUGAUUAAGAAACUAAAACAUAAGUUUGAUGAUCUUACAGCAGAGAAGGAAGCUGUAUCUUCAAAAUGUGUCGAUUUGGCUAAAGACAAUCAAGUUCUUCAACAGGAGUUAUUAUCUAUGAAAAAAGUACAACAGCAAUGUGAAAAACUUGAGAAGGAUAAAAAGAUGUUGGAAGAAGAAAUAUUAAAUCUUAAGACACAUAUGGAAGACAAUAUGGUAGAACUUAGUAAACUACAAGAAUAUAAAUCGGAGCUAGAUGAAAGGGCAAUGACGGCAGUAGAAAAAUUAGAAGAAAUCCAUUUACAGAUCUAAUAAGAAAAUAGCAAUGAUCAGCACCAAGCUCCUUAUGGAGAAAGAGCGGGUGAAAUAUUUUCUCAGCACUCUUCCUACAAGGCGAGGCCCAGAGUCACCUUGUGUUGAAAAUCUUACUAGUAUAGGACUCAACAGAAAAUAUAUUCCCCAAAUGCCCGUAAGAAUUCCUACUUCAAACCCUCAGACCUCAAAUAACUGCCAGAACUACUUGACUGAGAUGGAGCUGGACUGUGUGGAACAAAUAAUUAGAGAAACAAAGAGAACUGUUGCUGUGUUGGACACUUGCUCCCAUCUAUUUUCUUCUCUAGAAUCCACUGCGCUGGAAUGAGUAAUUUUUUUUAGAAGCAGAGGUGGAGCCACUGAGGAAGCACAGGCGAGCCCUCCCCAGCGUGUACUCACUGGUCCCCAACAGAAGAACAGCUGCUGCAUCCACUGAGGUACCAAGAAACUAGCAAAGGGCCUUCUGGCUCUCUGGGGACAGUCCUCAUGUGGUCCCUGGCUCAGCCUCAGAGGUUCUGGAUUAGUCUUCCUGUAGCCUCUGUGCUGUGUCUUUAGAUCGGGGC